rnacentral:lncRNA from 1 species
AACCUAUGUGGCGUGGGCUUGGUAGAAAAUGAACAUCUCUCUGUGGUUUUGCACAAAGUGCUAAGGCGUCCCUCCAAACAGUUGUGUGGCAGGAGCCGUCAGCAUCUACCUGCACAGCUGCGGCCCAGUGGCGACGGGAAGGCCAUUUACAGGUGUCCCUGGGCAGGAGCGCCAGACUCCCAGGACCUUCCCCGAGCAGACUUCGCUGCUCGCCAGCCCCACUCUGGGAAGCCGGCGGCCGGGACUUGCGGUGGCCGCACAGGAAGGGCGGAGGCCCUACGCGCGGUCCGACCCCGUCGCUCCGUCCCAGCCCAGACCCCAGCCCCGGGCGGCCCCGAGCCCCGCCCGCCGGCUCGCCCCGCCGGCCGCGCGCCUGCGCACCGGCCCCGGGUUAGCAGAGGUGGAGCGCCGGGAGGGAGGCAGGCGGACGGACGCCGUGACGGCGCGAGCGUGGUCACGUGCCUGCCGGUCACCGCCGCCACCUCCCGCCCUUCAGGUUCCACGAGAGCCCGGCAGACUGAGGGGGAGACACACAGAGAGCGAGAGAGUGAGAAACAGAGAGAGAGAGAGGAAGGAGGGGAGGAGGAUCAGGGAGUAGGAGCUGGGGAGCCCUGCCGCGCACAGAAAGUUUCUAAUGCCUGGGUGAAGAUAGGAAAACUGUCAGAUAGGCUGAGCACUGUCAUACUCAGAAGUCUACAAACAUUGCUGGACAGAGUACUUACUGUUCAAGACAAAUACUGAUGUGCAGAUAAUCACUGGUAAUCAAUCACUCUUGGU